rnacentral:rRNA from 1 species
CACACCGAAAGAUCUACUAGUAAAGAGGUUCAUGCGAUUGAAGAAAGUAAUGUUUUGAGUGGAAAGAUGGAUGAACUUAUGAAAUUGUUUGCUAAUGAGAGUGUUUCUUCGGAUCCCAAUGAUAUGCCUUUGUCUACUUUGAUUGAGAAUAAUAAUGAAUCUAUGGAUGUGAACUUUGUUGGUAGGAACAAUUUUGGUAACAAUGCUUAUAGAGGAAAUUUUAAUCCUAGGCCGUAUCCUAGUAAUUCCUCUAAUAAUUAUGGUAAUUGCUACAACAACUCUUAUGGAAAUUUUAAUAAGAUGCCCUCUGAUUUUGAGACUAGUGUUAAAGAAUUUAUGAUUUCGCAAAAGAAUUUCAGUGCUUUGCUUGAAGAAAAAUUGCCUAAGAUUGAUGAGUUGGCUAGGAACGUUGACAGAAUUUCUCUUGAUGUUGAUUCUUUGAAGCUUAGAUAUAUUCCACCUAAGCAUGAUAUCAAUGAGUCUCUCAAA